GAUGAACGCUGGCGGCGUGCCUAAUACAUGCAAGUCGAGCGAACAGACGCGAAGCUUGCUUCUCUGAUGUUAGCGGCGGACGUGUGAGUAACACGUGUAUCACCUACUUAUCAUACUGGGAUCAUUUCGGGACACCGGCGCUUAUACCGGAUAAUAUUUUGAACCGCAUGGUUCAAUAGUAAGAGACGGUCUUGCUGUCACUAAUAGAUGGAUCCGCGCUGCAUUAGCUAGUUGGUAAGGUAACGGCUUACCACGGCGACGAUGCAUAGCCGACCGGAGAGGGUGAUCGGCGACAUGGGAACGGAGACGCGGUCCAGACUCCUACGGGAGGCAGCAGUAGGGAAGCUUCCGCAAUGGGCGAAAGCCUUACAGAGCAACGCCGCGUGAGUGAUGAAGGUCUUCGGAUCGUAAAGCCCGGUUAUGAGGGAAGAACAGAUGUGUACGUAACCGAGCACAUCGUGACGGUACCGAAUCAGAAAGCCACGGCUAACUACGUG
rnacentral:rRNA from 1 species